rnacentral:rRNA from 1 species
UUGAUCCUGCCGGACCCUACCGCUAUCGGGAUGGGAUUAAGACAUGUUAGUCGUGCGCCUUCUAGCCAUGCUGGAGGCGCGGCAUACAGCUCAGUAGCACGUGGCUAACCUGCCCUUAGGACAGAAACAACCCCGGGAAACUGGGGUUAAUUUCUGAUAGGUGAGGAGUCCUGGAAUGGUUCCUCGCUCAAAGGGCGUUUAGGGCAUGCUCCUAGACGUUGCCUAAGGAUGGGGCCGCGGCCGAUCAGGUUGUUGGUGAGGUAAUGGCUCACCAAGCCUAUAACCGGUGCGGGCCGUGGGAGCGGGAGCCCGGAGAUGGGCACUGAGACUAGGGCCCAGGCCCUACGGGGCGCAGCAGUCGCGAAAAUUUCGCAAUAAGCGAAAGCUUGACGGAGCUAUCCCGAGUGCCCUCCGCUGAGGAGGGCUUUUCGCCAGUGUAGAUAGCUGGUGGAAUAAGGAGAGGGCAAGUCUGGUGUCAGCCGCCGCGGUAAUACCAGCUCUCCGAGUGGUGGGGAUGAUUAUUGGGCCUAAAGCAUCCGUAGCCGGCUGGGCAAGUCCCCCGUUAAAUCCAGCGAAUAAUCGCCGGCUUGCAGGGGAUACUGCUCGGCUAGGGGGCGAGAGAGGCCGUCGGUAUUUCCGGGGUAGGGGUGAAAUCCUAUAAUCCCGGGAGGACCACCAGUGGCGAAGGCUGUCGGCUAGAACGCGCCCGACGGUGAGGGAUGAAAGCUUGGGGAGCGAACCGGAUUAGAUACCCGGGUAGUCCAAGCUGUAAACGAUGCAGGCUAGGUGUUGGGGCGGCCACGUGCCGCUCUAGUGCCGCAGGGAAGCUGUUAAGCCUGCCGCCUGGGGAGUACGGCUGCAAGGCUGAAACUUAAAGGAAUUGGCGGGGGAGCACCACAAGGCGUGAAGCUUGCGGUUUAAUUGGAGUCAACGCCGG